GAAGUGGCCGGGGGAGGGGGAGGAGGGUGGAAAUGAGGGGCGAGGAGGAGGAAAUUGGGGGGGUGGAGGCGAGACGGGGGAAAGGGGCUGGAGGUGAUGGGGCUGAGGAGGUGAGAAAUCAAGUUCGAUGAAGCCGACUGCCGGGCGGAGUCUGACGGGAGCCAGAGGUGGCGGUGCGGAGCAAUCGGGUUGGCGGGUGGGGAGACCCGGGAGGCGCAGAUCUUGCCGGAGCCUUUGGAACACCCGGGGUGGCAGCUGCGAACGGGCACCGGGAUGUGUUUGGCCCGGGGAGGCGGGAGGCUUCAGUUUGCAGCAGCUUGUAGUGGGGUCCCGUGGGGCACCGCGUCCUGGGUGCGCUGGCGCCCCCUCCCAGUUCGAGUCCGGCGGUGGGGCCGAGUGGGUUCAGCAGUCCAGCCCCGAGGCCAGCAUCGCCGCGCGCUGCCCGCCACCGCCGCUCCGCGCCGCGCGCUGCUGCCCAGCUGCAGGCGUCCGCGCCGCCGCCCGCCCGCCCGCGCCGCUGCCGCCGCCGCCGCCUCCUCCGCGGCGGCCGCCGCUCCCCCCGCGCCGGCUGCACACUCAGAUUCCUCCCGCGGCGGCUGCCAGCCCGGCUCCCCGGCUCGGCUCCUUCCUUUCCCUUCUCCUCUUCUCGCCCUCUCACCGCCACCUCCUCGCAUCCACUCUCUCCUGCUCUUUGCAAAGCACCCCUGACCCUCGUGCUUCGAGGUGCCAGGAGGUAAGUCGCGGGCAGCGGAUCUCGGGGCAACGGAUCUCGAGCCUGCGAAUCGCAGCCGCUGCCGCCGCCCGCCGGCCGCGAGAAGGAGCCCCCGGGGCGCCGCGCGCAGCUUCGGAAGCCGAGAGAGGCGGCCCCGGUCUACGGGGAUCUCGCCUGGUCGCGUCCUCUUGCUUCUCGCCUCCUCCCCCCAAGACAAGGAACCCCCUCUUGGUCGGAGGAGGUUGAAGCUGAGACGCCAGAGAGCCGCCGGCUGAUCUGACUGUCGUUAUUUUUCGUUGUAACUUCAGGAGAGGAGGAAGGAAAAUUCUUGAGCGUCUGUGCUGACUUCUCAGCUCUCUUCACCCUUCCCCCACCCUACCCCCCCU
rnacentral:lncRNA from 1 species